AUGCACGCUGGCGGCGUGCCUCAUACAUGCCAGUCGCGCGAACAGACGAGGAGCUUGCUCCUCUGACGUUAGCGGCGGACGGGUGAGUAACACGUGGAUAACCUACCUAUAAGACUGGGAUAACUUCGGGAAACCGGAGCUAAUACCGGAUAAUAUAUUGAACCGCAUGGUUCAAUAGUUAAAGACGGUUUUGCUGUCACUUAUAGAUGGAUCCGCGCCGCAUUAGCUAGUUGGUAAGGUAACGGCUUACCAAGGCGACGAUGCGUAGCCGACCUGAGAGGGUGAUCGGCCACACUGGAACUGAGACACGGUCCAGACUCCUACGGGAGGCAGCAGUAGGGAAUCUUCCGCAAUGGGCGAAAGCCUGACGGAGCAACGCCGCGUGAGUGAUGAAGGUCUUCGGAUCGUAAAACUCUGUUAUUAGGGAAGAACAAAUGUGUAAGUAACUAUGCACGUCUUGACGGUACCUAAUCAGAAAGCCACGGCUAACUACGUG
rnacentral:rRNA from 1 species